rnacentral:rRNA from 1 species
AGGGUGCAAGCGUUACUCGGAAUUACUGGGCGUAAAGGGUGCGUAGGUGGUUCGUUAAGUCUGAUGUGAAAGCCCUGGGCUCAACCUGGGAAUUGCAUUGGAUACUGGCGGGCUGGAGUGCGGUAGAGGGUAGUGGAAUUCCCGGUGUAGCAGUGAAAUGCGUAGAUAUCGGGAGGAACAUCCGUGGCGAAGGCGACUACCUGGACCAGCACUGACACUGAGGCACGAAAGCGUGGGGAGCAAA